GAAGGUUUGUGGUACCUUCUUGAGUCGAUCUCCCUGCCACUGGCACAUUAGAGAGCUCAUCCACUAAAGGCGGACUUACCCAUGCGCCCUGGACGGCACCUGCAGGUCCUUUGCAGGAUUAGGAUGUGAAGGAAAAGGUCGAAUGCCGGGCUGUGGUCACAGCUCUCUGCUAGUGCAGACAGAGAGCGUGGGCAACAAACAGUCUUCUAGGCGGAGGCAGUGGGGGAAACCAGGUAGACACCUGUGAGCGCGGUUUCUGGGAACUCUCGCGAGACUGUGGAGAGGUGGGCCAAGGGGGGAGGGGGCUUGAUGAACUAGCUCUUCUCUGGUUCCUCAGAAGCCAGCCCCCUGCAGGAGAGAAACAGGAGGGGGUGCAGAAAGCUUGCCUACAACCCCCACUCCCUGGAGGACCCAGAUGGUCCAGUCGUUGGUUGGGUCCCUUCCUCCAAGAAGUGUCUUCCGCUUCCCUCUUUGGGGAAAUCCUCGUUCAGCUUUUAAAGCCUUUUGGCAUCUUUUGCCUGCCUUCAAAAACUGAGCUUGUUGGAAGCAGCCUGAUAAAUCACUCUUCGCAUCUUGGCUGCCGCGGGACUUACAGAGAGAGGUUGUCGCGUGAUUUACAGCUGCUGUCUGAGAGGGCUUUUCCAAAGGGCCAGCUCAGACUAGCGAGUCAUCUCUGGCAAGAUGAGCCUUUUUGUCUAGUUCAAACUGAUGCGAAAGAGAAGAAAUAGGACUGCUUUAUCCAAAACUUGCUGGCCAUCCCUGCCUCCAGCCAGCUGGAAUCUCCAACUUCGUUUCUUCCUUGCAACUUGAGCUCAAGAAGUAAGCGUCCAGGAAAGUGGUUUGUCAUGAGAGGCCGGCUGGAGGCCUGCUGGAGAGAGGAGAGCUUUCUUUUUCUGAACUGAAGUUACACAAUGCUGGGCAGGCCCUCUGAUUUGUGGUCAUGGUUUCCCAGAACCCCAAGGGGCCCAUCCAGGAAACCGCCCAUGUUCCCUCCCCUGAGUGUCUGCUGCCUCCCAGGGGGAUUUCAUUUCCUUGAUUGUUUUCCACAGUUGCUGGCGGAAGUCAGGUGCCCAGGACCAGCGUGAACGUGGGCUGCUUCCAAGAUGCUUCGCUUGGUCCCAGUGGCGGGGUGAGGUGGGGAGACCCUGAGCCUCGUGCAGAAACAGCUCUUCAUUUUAGUUCUAGCUUAUUCUUGUACGUCAAGUUAAUUGACCUCUUCCAGCAUGAAUUCUUCAUUUCCAAAAUCAGUAUAAGAACUUCUAUGAGAAUUUUUUUUUGGAUUAAACCUAAAAUAGCUGGCAUAAAGUAGGUAAACAAGUAAAUCCAAAUUAAAAAAUAUAUAUAUAUGUGUAUAUAUUUUAAUUUUUGUUGCUUGUUCUCUGUUUUUUGUUUUGUUUUGCUUUUUUUUUCCCCCUGCUAACAGUUUUUCGGCCUACAUUCCUAUGGGAGCCCAAAAGGAAUGCUUAAAAGACACGAGAGUUAUAAUUUAGUACAAGUUUGCUAAAAAUAACUUUUGUUAAGAGGAGAUUUGAGGAGAUACUUUUAGCUACACACAACUCAUCCAGUUAGGGUUAAUGGAGAGCUUUUUAGGAGUGUACUUUGCUGCAGGACACAGAUCAUGAAGAUUGAGUGAGUUUUUAUCACGUAGAGAGAAUACAGGUUUUUAUCUCUGGGGUGAAAAAUCUCCCUGGGGACGUUUACCACUGUAAAGGAAAUGACAGGCCAUUUGAAAAAGUAGAAAAAUGUGUUCAUUUUUGCUUCCCAACAAUGGAGUGUCUUCCUUCUGAGAAAACUAGGAACUCAUUUUCUUCAGGAAAUAUGCUACAUUUAUUCUGAAAAAAUAGACCUGCCUCCCUCUCUGCGUUUUCUUACAACCCCUUGUCCACGUGAAUACGCCAAGAGCAAAUGCCUAAAGGACAGUUUAAUUAAGCAGAAAUUCCAUCCAAGAACUCCACUCAAGAGCAAAGACCAAAGCAAGCCUCAAGCCUAGGGGGUGAAAAGGAGGUGGGAACACAUUAAGGGAAACAAAAGGCAGAGAGACCCCUUUUUCCAUUACCGUGAGUCUCGUCAACAGUGUGGUUGUAUUAAAAACACUGAUUAGUGUUCUAAGAAAAUGUGAACAUUGACCACGAAAGCCCCACUGCUUUCUCCUCCAUCACCCUGGACUUUUGUAAGGAUGAAAUGAGAUCAUGCAAGGCUGCGCAUCGAUACUGAAUGGAUGAUGUUUGAUACAGUCAUACUUUAGAAUAGUAUCCAGCCAUUCAAAGGAGUGAGAACGGAAUGGAUUGACUUGGCAGGGAUUUCCACAAAGUAUUAUUGACUGGAGAAGGACAGGAGUAGAGUGAGUGUGCAUAGUAUUAUCCAGUCUUUGCAAAACGGUGCCAUGUGUUCCAAAUGCACGUGUGUACCUGUUCACAGGCCACCCGACUUAGAACUGCACACCAGGCCUCUCCACCCCUUCCCACUCCGCCCGAGUGUUCCCACCCCACUGCUCCGCUUUAUUAGUCCUCCCACCACGUGUCUUUGGACACACUGUUCACCGACUUCUGUGUUUAUUGUCGACCUCCUCCCAUCAGAAUAUAGAAGUUGCAUGAGGUGUGGAAUCUUCGUGGGGCUUUGUUUUUGUUGUUGUCAGUUUGUGUCUUCUUUUAUCCAUCCCUGCAUCCUCUGCAUUAGCAUAAUACUUGGUACACAAUCGGUGCCUGUAAAUGUAUGUAAAUUGGGCAACUACAUGAGUUGAGUAAAUGAAUAUGUAUGAAAAUGGAGGAAAGUAUGGGAGGAAUAACAUGAGGUGAGAGGCACGAAGGGGCAGAGUUAAAGGAAAGAGGAAAAAACAAGCUGCAUUAGCAACGGGAUGGUGUUUAUGCGUCCGUGAGUGUACCUGUGGUUGUGCUGUGUCACUCAGAACAAGGAUGAGGAAUGGACCCCCCUCGGACAUCUGGAAGACGUUCCGUCAGUGUACUUCCUUCACCUCUCAGUUCCAUGUGAUCUCAGGAUUUGAAAGGAGUGACUUAGUGGUGACGCUGGUAACAGAAUCCCCUGUAUCUGCGCUGUCUCCCCCAGAGCCUACUGCCUGAAAGUCAAAGAUGUGGCUUCUGGUCCGCAUGUUGCCACCAUGAAGGCGUGUGGCUGGGGGCAGCUCAGUUCCAUGCCCUGGGCCUUUGUUUGCUCACCUCUGCAGUAGAGCCAGUGACAGUGUUCUAAGUGCCGCCCAGGUUUUUGUGAAGACAGUGGAGACAGUACCGUCCUCCUGCUCUGAGCUCUUCUCCUCGGUCUCUGAUCCACUUUCUGGCCCGCGCUGUGGUUACACGCGCCCCUGGGGAGCUCACGUUCAGAUGAACGGCAGUCUACAAGCAGUGACACCACCUGCCUGAUCUGUCUGGGAAGCGUCUUCACAGGAAGGCUGGGGAUGGCGUCUUAUCCCUGAAUUGUCAGCACCCAGCCAAG